AACGGACGCCGGCGGCAGGCCUAACACAUGCAAGUCGAACGCUCCGCAAGGGGAGUGGCAGACGGGUGAGUAACACGUGGGAAUCUUCCUGUUGGUGCGGAAUAGCUCAGGGAAACUUGGGGUAAUACCGCAUAAGCCCGAGAGGGGAAAGAUUUAUCGCCGACAGAUGAGCCCGCGUCUGAUUAGCUAGUUGGUGAGGUAACGGCUCACCAAGGCGACGAUCAGUAGCUGGUCUGAGAGGAUGACCAGCCACACUGGGACUGAGACACGGCCCAGACUCCUACGGGAGGCAGCAGUGGGGAAUAUUGGACAAUGGGCGCAAGCCUGAUCCAGCCAUGCCGCGUGAGUGACGAAGGUCUUCGGAUUGUAAAGCUCUUUUGGCGGGGACGAUAAUGACGGUACCCGCAGAAUAAGCCCCGGCUAACUUCGUGCCAGCCGCCGCGGUAAGAC
rnacentral:rRNA from 1 species